rnacentral:lncRNA from 1 species
UCCCCAGCUAUGUGCACCAAGAACCACCAAGCUAUUGGUUUGGAUCGAUAGGGAUGCUGAGAAAAGAAGUCCACAAAUCAUGGGAGUGUGUAUAGGUUUGAAGGUUUUGAACCUUUUCUUUGCCCCCCAAAUUCUGCAUGGGAAUGACCAAAUCGAAGAACUGAGUAUAGCGCGCCAUGGCAGCAGCUGUGAAUUGUAAUGCUUUGGUUUCCCUUUUGCCAACUUCAUGCACUAGUUCAUGCGUGUUAAUAUGUUAUCGAUAAGUUGCUAAUAUUCAUCUUUGCGCAAGGCUUUCAAAAAGUUGAGGUAGAUCUCGUAUGGUGUUUUCAAUGGCACAUGUAAUCCUUGUGUUCUCUACUUCUCCUUAUGUUUUGAGGCUUCAACGUAUAUGUUUGGGGGUAAUAGAUAUGAGUUUAAUUAAGAAGCAGGGCUGUGGAGUUGCAUUCGAGAUUUCACACAAGUUUGGUUGAUGCUUAUAACAUUGGCACAAAGUGUGGAACAAGUAUAACAAUGUUUGGCUAAAACUGGAGUGUGUGAUUAUAUGACAUGUGAAUAUGUAAACUAUAUAACAAAGUGUAACUCUCCCCCAAUUGUAUCAACCAAUCAAAUAUGAGUGCUAGAGUAGUAAAUUUGUGGUAUGUCAGACAUUUGGUGUAAUAACAAUGCUUGGAAAGUAGGG